rnacentral:lncRNA from 1 species
AGGCCAAGGCACACAUAGAGAAUAUCCUAGAACACUCCCCCUUGUGCCGCGCGCUGAUAUGCCGAUGGUGCUGAUCUGUUGCCUCGUCAAAAACCUCGUCAAGUCACAAAAACCCUAUGGGAGAAAAACUGAACCUUGAUCGUAGAAGAAAAGGAGUACAACGCACCCUUCACAUUUGAUAGUGACAUGUAUGUAUGUGCUAGACUCCCCCUGAAGUUCGCACCUCCCCCUGAUCUUUACAUCAAUCAUAGGGCUCUUCCUGAUUCUCACUAAUCACGGAAGUUUCAACAACUUAGCAUGUCAAUGCUCUUUAACAUGUUUUCAAAUGUGGCAUUGGGCAAUGAUUAACUAAAUCAUGCCGUAUUGUCCUCAAAUGAUCUUUUACACUUAGAUCUUGAGGAGAAG